rnacentral:rRNA from 1 species
AACGUAGGUUCCGAGCGUUAUCCGGAUUUACUGGGCGUAAAGCGCGUUCAGGCGGUUUGGCAAGUCGGGCAUGAAAUCUCUCGGCUCAACCGGGAGAGGUUGUCCGAUACUGCUGGACUUGAGGGCAGUAGAGGGUGGUGGAACUCCGGGUGUAGUGGUGAAAUGCGUAGAGCUCGGGAAGAACAUCGGUGGCGAAAGCGCUCUACUGGACUGCAACUGACACUCAGGGACGAAAGCUAGGGGAGCGAAUGGG